UGUUUGCAAAUUCCUGAUACUCUAGUUACUGAGCUGGUCUUCGAGUAGUAGUGGUCGCUGGUUGGUGAUGCCACUUGAGCAACGACUUGGGUUUUAGGUCGUCGCGGCCGAAAAAAAUAUCAAUCUCUGCGCGAAUCAUUGGCGUAGGCCAGCCUGGGAGAGAGGAAGGAAGCAUCUUCCUGUGCCUCUCCUUACCCUCUUCGUCUUCUUCUCCAUCUCCUUGUGUGCUCAGUAGCUUCUCCUCCUACGAAACCAACCAGCUGCCGCCGGUGACCGUCGAUCCGUCGACCGCCGCCGCCAUGAGCAGCGAUGUUCCUGGGUACUUCGUGGGGCGGCCGAUGAACCAAGCGGAGCCUGCGAAAGAACAGCAGCAGGGCGCCGACGAGCAGCGGCCUGCUACCAACGCGCAGAUCCCUGGUGACUACUUCGUCGGGCGUCCGGCAAACCCGCAGCAGCCGCCGUCGCAACCUCCGCGGGCGCAGGAGAGAUCGAGCUUCUUGGCCAAAUGCUGCCCAUGCCUCGACAGCCGAGCUGAGGGAUAGACGAACAAGUGCGGCGGCGGGCGUGACCGUAAAUUCGAUGGGAAAAUUGAAGCAAAUUUGCUUGGAGUGAUAAGGCUCGGAUCUGUGUUUGUGUUGCAAGUUUUGCUAAUAGAUGUUUGUAACUGAAGGUUGCUUCUAUUCAUUUGUAUACCAAUUGUUCAUUCGUAUCAUCAGAGUGCGAAUUCGAUGAAAUUGUCCAUUCCAAUCCGGCAUGCCUUUUCUCCUUCCUUGAAAUGAAUAUUCUGCUCCAUUGCUGGCAAAUGUCAAGAAUGAGUUUGUUGUUUUAUUCA